rnacentral:rRNA from 1 species
UGGGCGCAAGCCUGAUCCAGCAAUGCCGCGUGCAGGAUGAAGGCCUUCGGGUUGUAAACUGCUUUUGUACGGAACGAAAAAGCUCUCUCUAAUACAGGGGGUGAAUGACGGUACCGCAAGAAUAAGCACCGGCUAACUACGUGCCAGCAGCCGCGGUAAUACGUAGGGUGCAAGCGUUAAUCGGAAUUACUGGGCGUAAAGCGUGCGCAGGCGGUUUUGUAAGACAGAGGUGAAAUCCCCGGGCUCAACCUGGGAACUGCCUUUGUGACUUCAAAGCUGGAGUGCGGCAGAGGGGGAUGCAGUUCCGCGUGUAGCAGUGAGAUGCGUAGAUAUGCGGGGGAACACCGAUGGCGAAGGCAAUCCCCUGGGCCUGCACUGACGCUCAUGCACGAAAGCGUGGGG